GUAGGUGGCAAGCGUUGUCCGGAAUUAUUGGGCGUAAAGCGCGCGCAGGCGGUUCUUUAAGUCUGAUGUGAAAGCCCACGGCUCAACCGUGGAGGGUCAUUGGAAACUGGAGAACUUGAGUACAGAAGAGGAAAGCGGAAUUCCACGUGUAGCGGUGAAAUGCGUAGAGAUGUGGAGGAACACCAGUGGCGAAGGCGGCUUUCUGGUCUGUAACUGACGCUGAGGCGCGAAAGCGUGGGGAGCAAACAGGGAUUAGAUACCCUGGUAGUCCACGCCGUAAACGAUGAGUGCUAAGUGUUAGGGGGUUUCCCGCCCCUUAGUGCUGCAGCUAACGCAUUAAGCACUCCGCCUGGGGGAUACGGCCGCAAGGCUG
rnacentral:rRNA from 1 species